CGCACAUUGCACUCCUUGGUAUUCCGGGGAGUAUGCCUGUUCGAGCGUCAUUACACCCUUCAAGCUUUGCUUGGUAUUGGAAUUCAUCUGUCAAAGGAUGUUUCCGAAAAUGAGUGGCAGUUUGUAAUAACUUCAAGCGUGGUGAAAAUUUUACGCUCUGAUACUUGUGCGAACUUGCCAAAAUCACAUCUUCAAUAAUUUGACCUCGGAUCAGGUAGGGAUACCCGCUGAACUUAA
rnacentral:misc_RNA from 1 species